rnacentral:rRNA from 1 species
CUCAGGAUGAACGCUAGCUACAGGCUUAACACAUGUAAGUCGAGGGGCAGCAUUUUAGUUUGCUUGCAAACUGAAGAUGGCGACCGGCGCACGGGUGAGUAACACGUAUCCAACCUGCCGAUAACUCCGGGAUAGCCUUUCGAAAGAAAGAUUAAUACCGGAUAGCAUACGAAUAUCGCAUGAUAUUUUUAUUAAAGAAUUUCGGUUAUCGAUGGGGAUGCGUUCCAUUAGUUUGUUGGCGGGGUAACGGCCCACCAAGACAACGAUGGAUAGGGGUUCUGAGAGGAAGGUCCCCCACAUUGGAACUGAGACACGGUCCAAACUCCUACGGGAGGCAGCAGUGAGGAAUAUUGGUCAAUGGGCGAGAGCCUGAACCAGCCAAGUAGCGUGAAGGAUGAAGGCUCUAUGGGUCGUAAACUUCUUUUAUAUGGGAAUAAAGUAUUCCACGUGUGGAAUUUUGUAUGUACCAUAUGAAUAAGGAUCGGCUAACUCCGUGCCAGCAGCCGCGGUAAUACGGAGGAUCCGAGCGUUAUCCGGAUUUAUUGGGUUUAAAGGGAGCGUAGGUGGAUUGUUAAGUCAGUUGUGAAGGUUUGCGGCUCAACCGUAAAAUUGCAGUUGAAACUGGCAGUCUUGAGUACAGUAGAGGUGGGCGGAAUUCGUGGUGUAGCGGUGAAAUGCUUAGAUAUCACGAAGAACUCCGAUUGCGAAGGCAGCUCACUAGACUGUCACUGACACUGAUGCUCGAAAGUGUGGGUAUCAAACAGGAUUAGAUACCCUGGUAGUCCACACAGUAAACGAUGAAUACUCGCUGUUUGCGAUAUACUGCAAGCGGCCAAGCGAAAGCGUUAAGUAUUCCACCUGGGGAGUACGCCGGCAACGGUGAAACUCAAAGGAAUUGACGGGGGCCCGCACAAGCGGAGGAGUAUGUGGUUUAAUUCGACGCAACGCGAAGAACCUUACCAAGUCUUGACAUCCCUUGACGAUGCCGGAAACAGUAUUUCUCUUCGGAGCAAGGAGACAGGUGGUGCAUGGUUGUCGUCAGCUCGUGUCGUGAGAUGUUGGGUUAAGUCCCGCAACGAGCGCAACCCUUAUGGUCAGUUACUACGCAAGAGGACUCUGGCCAGACUGCCGUUGACAAAACGGAGGAAGGUGGGGAUGACGUCAAAUCAUCAUGCCCUUUAUGACUUGGGCUACACACGUACUACAAUGGCGUUAAACAAAGAGAAGCAAGACCGCGAGGUGGAGCAAAACUCAGAAACAACGUCCCAGUUCGGACUGCAGGCUGCAACUCGCCUGCACGAAGUCGGAAUUGCAAGUAAUCGUGGAUCAGCAUGCCACGGUGAAU